rnacentral:misc_RNA from 1 species
AAAUAGUAGAUCUUGGCUUCAUAGUACUCAUUUCUUAGUAGUUUUUUACACAAUACCAAAUGUUAUUUCCAUAUAUGGUCUUAGCUAGACUUUAGAGAUUAAGAAUAGAUAUCGAGGCUUCAUAGGCUAAACGUGGCGUGUGGAUUUAGCUAGAUGCAUUAGCUCUGAUUUUGGGUAUAAGGUUCUUAGCAGCCUCAGCAAGCUUAUUAGUUUCAGGCAUGACAUCUUUGACAGAACUAUCAGCACAAAAAUCUUCAGCCCAAUUGUAUAAACCUGGAGUCUUGGCUUCAUCAAGUAGUGUGACGUUGUUCAUCUUCUCGAUCACCCUCAUCCAACCUAAGAAGCAUCCAAGUGCAAUGUCCACGUAUCCAAUUUUGUCUCCGCCAAAGAACUUCUUUCCUUUGCUGCAAUUCUUGAAGGCGUCUUCCAACAACACCAGACCGUCGAACACUGGCUCUAGUGCUGUUUUUAUGGCAUCCUCUCCUUGGGCAACCGCAAAGGAACGGAAUAAUGGAAACCACUUAUCGUCAAUAUAACAUGCCCAAAAUCGAGCAAUGGCACGAUCAUAAGGAUCCAAGGGGAGAAUAGAGGGACCAGAAUUAGUCCAUUUUUCAUCAAUAUACUGAACAAUGUUGAGUGAUUCACAAAUGAACUUCCCAUCAUGAAUUAGAACUGGAAUUUUCUUGUAAACUGGAUUUGAUAUAAGGAGAAGAUCACUCUUAGAACUUAACUGUUCCUCCAAGAAAUCAUAACACACUGAUUUUACGUUAAGCGCGAUAAGAGGCCUCAUAACAAAUGUACUAGGCCAUGAUCCUAAUAGUUUCACAUCAUUUUCA